rnacentral:rRNA from 1 species
UACAGAGGUGGCAAGCGUUGUUCGGAAUUACUGGGCGUAAAGGGCGCGUAGGCGGCCAUCUAAGUCAGACGUGAAAUCCCCCGGCUUAACCUGGGAACUGCGUCUGAUACUGGAAGGCUUGAGUAUGGGAGAGGGAUGUAGAAUUCCAGGUGUAGCGGUGAAAUGCGUAGAUAUCUGGAGGAAUACCGGUGGCGAAGGCGGCAUCCUGGACCAUUAAUGACGCUGAGGCGCGAAAGCUAGGGGAGCAAACGGG